UACGACUACAUAUCAGGCAUAUCAAUAAGCGGAGGAAAAGAAACUAACAAGGAUUCCCUUAGUAACGGCGAGUGAAGCGGGAAGAGCUCAAAUUUGAAAUCUUCAAGGUUUUACCUUGACGAAUUGUAGUUUAAAGAAGUGUUUUCUGUUGAAGUUUUGGUAAAAGUUCUUUGGAAUAGGACAUCAUAGAGGGUGAGAAUCCCGUAUUUGACCAUUAUUUUCAGCUGUGUGAUACACUUUCAAAGAGUCGGAUUGUUUGGGAAUGCAGUCCAAAAUGGGUGGUAAAUUUCAUCUAAAGCUAAAUAUUGGCGAGAGACCGAUAGCGAACAAGUACCGUGAGGGAAAGAUGAAAAGAACUUUGAAAAGAGAGUUAAACAGUACGUGAAAUUGUCAAAAGGGAAGCGUUUGACACCAGUGUUGUUUUCUCGAAAAUCAAUUAAAAAGAGUUGGAUUUUGUGUUGUAUUGACCUUAACAGCUUGCUUCACUCUUUUCCAUGCUUUUUUUAAGUGCACUUUUCGUUUAACAAGUCAACAUCAGUUUCUUUUGUUGUAAAAGGGUCAUUGGAAGGUGGCUUUCUCUUCGGAGAAAGUGUUUAUAGCCUUUGAUCUCUGCAAUCGGAGAGACUGAGGUCUGCAGCGUAGAUCCUUCGGGGUUAGAUACAUUUGUGCUAAGCUACAGCUUUUCAUAGACAACUUGUUGACUAUGUUUAGUCCUUGUGACUUACCCGCUUAUGCUAUUUUACCUACGCUUAGGAUGUUGAGCGCAUGUCUCUCUCU
rnacentral:rRNA from 1 species